rnacentral:rRNA from 1 species
UACGGAGGGGGCUAGCGUUGUUCGGAAUUACUGGGCGUAAAGCGCACGUAGGCGGAUCGCUAAGUGAGGGGUGAAAUCCCAGGGCUCAACCCUGGAACUGCCUUUCAUACUGGCGAUCUUGAGUUCGAGAGAGGUGAGUGGAAUUCCGAGUGUAGAGGUGAAAUUCGUAGAUAUUCGGAGGAACACCAGUGGCGAAGGCGGCUCACUGGCUCGUAUCUGACGCUCGGGCGCGACAGCGUGGGGAUCAAACAGG